rnacentral:rRNA from 1 species
UGCCAGACUCCUACGGGAGGCAGCAGUGAGGAAUAUUGGUCAAUGGGCUUACGCCUGAACCAGCCAAGUCGCGUGAGGGAAGACUGCCCUAUGGGUUGUAAACCUCUUUUGUCAGGGAGCAACGCCGGCUACGUGUAGCCGGACUGAGAGUACCUGAAGAAAAAGCAUCGGCUAACUCCGUGCCAGCAGCCGCGGUAAUACGUAGGGAGCAAGCGUUAUCCGGAUUUAUUGGGUGUAAAGGGUGCGUAGACGGGUAUAUAAGUUAGUUGUGAAAUCCCUCGGCUCAACUGAGGAACUGCAACUAAAACUGUAAAUCUUGAGUGCGGGAGAGGAAAGUGGAAUUCCUAGUGUAGCGGUGAAAUGCGUAGAUAUUAGGAGGAACACCAGUGGCGAAGGCGACUUUCUGGACCGUAACUGACGUUGAGGCACGAAAGUGUGGGGAGCAAACAGGAUUAGAUACCCCGGUAU